rnacentral:rRNA from 1 species
CCCAGUAACGGCGAGUGAAGCGGCAACAGCUCAAAUUUGAAAUCUGGCCCCCCGCGGGCCCGAGUUGUACUUUGGAGAGGACGCUUCUGGCGCGGCGCCGUCCGAGUUCCCUGGAACGGGACGCCGGAGAGGGUGAGAGCCCCGUACGGGCGGCCGCCUAGCCUCUGCGAAGCUCCUUCGACGAGUCGAGUAGUUUGGGAAUGCUGCUCAAAAUGGGAGGUAAAUUUCUUCUAAAGCUAAAUACCGGCCAGAGACCGAUAGCGCACAAGUAGAGUGAUCGAAAGAUGAAAAGCACUUUGAAAAGAGGGUCAAACAGUACGUGAAAUUGUUGAAAGGGAAGCGCCUGUGGCCAGACUUGCGCCCCGCGGACCACCCGGCGCCUCGCGCGCCGGGGCACGCCAGCGGGGCGCAGGCCAGCAUCGGCUCUCUCGGGGGGACAAAGGCCGCGGGAACGUAGCGCCCUCGCGGCGUAUUAUAGCCCGCGGCGCCAUGCCCCCGGGGGGGCCGAGGACCGCGCUCCGGCAAGGAUGCUGGCGUAAUGGCCACCGGCGACCCGUCUUGAAACACGGACCAAGGAGUCAAGCAUUGGGGCGAGUGUCUGGGUGGCAAGCCCGCACGCGGAAUGAAAGUGAACGCAGGUGGGAGCUUCGGCGCACCACCGACCGAUCCUGAUGUCCUCGGAUGGAUUUGAGUAGGAGCCCCGCCGCUUGGACCCGAAAGAUGGUGAACUAUGCCUGUAUAGGGUGAAGCCAGAGGAAACUCUGGUGGAGGCCCGCAGCGGUUCUGACGUGCAAAUCGAUCGUCAAAUAUGGGCA